rnacentral:misc_RNA from 1 species
UCAAACUUGGUCAUUUAGAGGAAGUAAAAGUCGUAACAAGGUUUCCGUAGGUAAGUGAAAAAAGCUUUCCAUCUUAUACCUCCCCCCCCCUUACUAUGGAUUGAAUAAUGUGCUAACUUUUCCCUUUUUAGGUGAACCUGCGGAAGGAUCAUUACCGAGUGCGGGCGCUUGCCGCCCAACCUCCCACCCGUGUCGAUUGUGUCCCUGUUGCUUCGGCGGGCCCACUGGGUCCUGCCCGGUCGCCUGGGGGUGUCGUGCCCCCGGGCCCGUGUCCGCCGGAGAGCCCUGGAACCCUGUGUGAAUUGGACGUCUGAGUGAGGGAUUAAAUCAUUAAAACUUUCAACAACGGAUCUCUUGGUUCCGGCAUCGAUGAAGAACGCAGC